rnacentral:rRNA from 1 species
UACGUAGGGUGCAAGCGUUGUCCGGAAUUAUUGGGCGUAAAGAGCUCGUAGGCGGUUCGUCGCGUCGGCUGUGAAAACCUGAGGCUCAACCUCAGGCCUGCAGUCGAUACGGGCGGACUUGAGUACUGCAGGGGAGACUGGAAUUCCUGGUGUAGCGGUGAAAUGCGCAGAUAUCAGGAGGAACACCGAUGGCGAAGGCAGGUCACUGGGCCGCAACUGACGCUGAGGAGCGAAAGCAUGGGGAGCAAACAGG